AUUGAACGCUGGCGGCAGGCCUAACACAUGCAAGUCGAGCGGAUGAAGGGAGCUUGCUCCUGGAUUCAGCGGCGGACGGGUGAGUAAUGCCUAGGAAUCUGCCUGGUAGUGGGGGAUAACGUCCGUAAACGGGCGCUAAUACCGCAUACGUCCUGAGGGAGAAAGUGGGGGAUCUUCGGACCUCACGCUAUCAGAUGAGCCUAGGUCGGAUUAGCUAGUUGGUGGGGUAAAGGCCUACCAAGGCGACGAUCCGUAACUGGUCUGAGAGGAUGAUCAGUCACACUGGAACUGAGACACGGUCCAGACUCCUACGGGAGGCAGCAGUGGGGAAUGUUGGGCAAUGGGCGAAAGCCUGAUCCAGCCAUGCCGCGUGUGUGAAGAAGGUCUUCGGAUUGUAAAGCACUUUAAGUUGGGAGGAAGGGCAGUAAGUUAAUACCUUGCUGUUUUGACGUUACCAACAGAAUAAGCACCGGCUAACUUCGUG
rnacentral:rRNA from 1 species